rnacentral:rRNA from 1 species
UAAAGCCUUCGGGCGCUUGAGGAGGGGCUUGUGUCCUAUCAGGUAGUUGGUAGGGUAACGGCCUACCAAGCCGAAGACGGGUAGCUGGUCUGAGAGGAUGGUCAGCCAGAUAGGGAAUGAGAGACGGCCCUGACUCCUACGGGAGGCAGCAGCAAGGGAUAUUGCGCAAUGGGCGAAAGCCUGACGCAGCGACGCCGCGUGGGGGAAGAAGGCCUUCGGGUCGUAAACCCCUUUUCUUGGUGAAGAGAAAGGACAGUAGCCAAGGAAUAAGUCUCGGCUAACUACGUGCCAGCAGCCG